GUAGGGCGGGACACGUGGUAUCCUGUCUGAAUAUGGGGGGACCAUCCUCCAAGGCUAAAUACUCCUGACUGACCGAUAGUGAACCAGUACCGUGAGGGAAAGGCGAAAAGAACCCCGGCGAGGGGAGUGAAAAAGAACCUGAAACCGUGUACGUACAAGCAGUGGGAGCCUCUUUAUGGGGUGACUGCGUACCUUUUGUAUAAUGGGUCAGCGACUUAUAUUCUGUAGCAAGGUUAACCGAAUAGGGGAGCCGAAGGGAAACCGAGUCUUAACUGGGCGUUAAGUUGCAGGGUAUAGACCCGAAACCCGGUGAUCUAGCCAUGGGCAGGUUGAAGGUUGGGUAACACUAACUGGAGGACCGAACCGACUAAUGUUGAAAAAUUAGCGGAUGACUUGUGGCUGGGGGUGAAAGGCCAAUCAAACCGGGAGAUAGCUGGUUCUCCCCGAAAGCUAUUUAGGUAGCGCCUCGUGAAUUCAUCUCCGGGGGUAGAGCACUGUUUCGGCAAGGGGGUCAUCCCGACUUACCAACCCGAUGCAAACUGCGAAUACCGGAGAAUGUUAUCACGGGAGACACACGGCGGGUGCUAACGUCCGUCGUGAAGAGGGAAACAACCCAGACCGCCAGCUAAGGUCCCAAAGUCAUGGUUAAGUGGGAAACGAUGUGGGAAGGCCCAGACAGCCAGGAUGUUGGCUUAGAAGCAGCCAUCAUUUAAAGAAAGCGUAAUAGCUCACUGGUCGAGUCGGCCUGCGCGGAAGAUGUAACGGGGCUAAACCAUGCACCGAAGCUGCGGCAGCGACACUAUGUGUUGUUGGGUAGGGGAGCGUUCUGUAAGCCUGUGAAGGUGGCCUGUGAGGGUUGCUGGAGGUAUCAGAAGUGCGAAUGCUGACAUAAGUAACGAUAAAGCGGGUGAAAAGCCCGCUCGCCGGAAGACCAAGGGUUCCUGUCCAACGUUAAUCGGGGCAGGGUGAGUCGACCCCUAAGGCGAGGCCGAAAGGCGUAGUCGAUGGGAAACAGGUUAAUAUUCCUGUACUUGGUGUUACUGCGAAGGGGGGACGGAGAAGGCUAUGUUGGCCGGGCGACGGUUGUCCCGGUUUAAGCGUGUAGGCUGGUUUUCCAGGCAAAUCCGGAAAACCAAGGCUGAGGCGUGAUGACGAGGCACUACGGUGCUGAAGCGACAAAUGCCCUGCUUCCAGGAAAAGCCUCUAAGCAUCAGGUAACAUCAAAUCGUACCCCAAACCGACACAGGUGGUCAGGUAGAGAAUACCAAGGCGCUUGAGAGAACUCGGGUGAAGGAACUAGGCAAAAUGGUGCCGUAACUUCGGGAGAAGGCACGCUGAUAUGUAGGUGAAGCGACUUGCUCGUGGAGCUGAAAUCAGUCGAAGAUACCAGCUGGCUGCAACUGUUUAUUAAAAACACAGCACUGUGCAAACACGAAAGUGGACGUAUACGGUGUGACGCCUGCCCGGUGCCGGAAGGUUAAUUGAUGGGGUUAGCGGUAACGCGAAGCUCUUGAUCGAAGCCCCGGUAAACGGCGGCCGUAACUAUAACGGUCCUAAGGUAGCGAAAUUCCUUGUCGGGUAAGUUCCGACCUGCACGAAUGGCGUAAUGAUGGCCAGGCUGUCUCCACCCGAGACUCAGUGAAAUUGAACUCGCUGUGAAGAUGCAGUGUACCCGCGGCAAGACGGAAAGACCCCGUGAACCUUUACUAUAGCUUGACACUGAACAUUGAGCCUUGAUGUGUAGGAUAGGUGGGAGGCUUUGAAGUGUGGACGCCAGUCUGCAUGGAGCCGACCUUGAAAUACCACCCUUUAAUGUUUGAUGUUCUAACGUUGGCCCGUAAUCCGGGUUGCGGACAGUGUCUGGUGGGUAGUUUGACUGGGGCGGUCUCCUCCUAAAGAGUAACGGAGGAGCACGAAGGUUGGCUAAUCCUGGUCGGACAUCAGGAGGUUAGUGCAAUGGCAUAAGCCAGCUUGACUGCGAGCGUGACGGCGCGAGCAGGUGCGAAAGCAGGUCAUAGUGAUCCGGUGGUUCUGAAUGGAAGGGCCAUCGCUCAACGGAUAAAAGGUACUCCGGGGAUAACAGGCUGAUACCGCCCAAGAGUUCAUAUCGACGGCGGUGUUUGGCACCUCGAUGUCGGCUCAUCACAUCCUGGGGCUGAAGUAGGUCCCAAGGGUAUGGCUGUUCGCCAUUUAAAGUGGUACGCGAGCUGGGUUUAGAACGUCGUGAGACAGUUCGGUCCCUAUCUGCCGUGGGCGCUGGAGAACUGAGGGGGGCUGCUCCUAGUACGAGAGGACCGGAGUGGACGCAUCACUGGUGUUCGGGUUGUCAUGCCAAUGGCACUGCCCGGUAGCUAAAUGCGGAAGAGAUAAGUGCUGAAAGCAUCUAAGCACGAAACUUGCCCCGAGAUGAGUUCUCCCUGACUCCUUGAGAGUCCUGAAGGAACGUUGAAGACGACGACGUUGAUAGGCCGGGUGUGUAAGCGCAGCGAUGCGUUGAGCUAACCGGUACUAAUGAACCGUGAGGCUUAACCUUACAACGCCGAAG
rnacentral:rRNA from 1 species